GGAAGAUAGGCGAAUGCUGGUUUGUCGCGCUGCCCUGGAACGGCAGUCCACCCUCCGAAACGGGGUGGCGAGGGUUCGAUCCCCUUGUCUUCCU
rnacentral:tRNA from 1 species